rnacentral:rRNA from 1 species
GAUGAACGCUGGCGGCGUGCCUAAUACAUGCAAGUCGAGCGAACAGAUAAGGAGCUUGCUCCUUUGACGUUAGCGGCGGACGGGUGAGUAACACGUGGGUAACCUACCUAUAAGACUGGAAUAACUCCGGGAAACCGGGGCUAAUGCCGGAUAACAUUUAGAACCGCAUGGUUCUAAGGUGAAAGAUGGUUUUGCUAUCACUUAUAGAUGGACCCGCGCCGUAUUAGCUAGUUGGUAAGGUAACGGCUUGCCAAGGCAACGAUACGUAGCCGACCUGAGAGGGUGAUCGGCCACACUGGAACUGAGACACGGUCCAGACUCCUACGGGAGGCAGCAGUAGGGAAUCUUCCGCAAUGGGCGAAAGCCUGACGGAGCAACGCCGCGUGAGUGAUGAAGGUCUUCGGAUCGUAAAACUCUGUUAUUAGGGAAGAACAAAUGUGUAAGUAACUGUGCACGUCUUGACGGUACCUAAUCAGAAAGCCACGGCUAACUACGUG